GAACAUGAUGUUGGUUCAGAUUAAACGUUAAAUAAGGACAUUAUACAUGCAAAUCAAACAUUUAUUUAUAAAUACUAUAAUAAAUAUGUGGUGUACAUGUGAGUAAAAAUUAGAAAUAAUGAACUAUUAAUUAAAUUAAAUAUUUAAUAAAUUAUAUAUUAAUAAUAUAUAUAUUAAAGAAUAUAUUUAAUAAAUAUAUUUGUUAAUAGUCAAGUCUAAAAUAGUUUAAGGUAGUAGGUAAAGUAAGAGUAAUACCUAGCCAAUGAUCUAUAAUUAAUAAUGAAAGUUAUAAUAAUCACAUUGAUUCUGAAACAUAAUCAAUAUCUAAAUGAUACAGCAGUAGGGAAUUUUGAACAAUGAUCGAAAGAUUGAUUCAGUUACUUAUUAGAAUAAAUAUAAUAAUAAUUAUUAUAAAUUGAUAAAAAAUAAAAUUCAUAAAUAGUAUAAAUAAUGAUUAUAUCUCACUACUACAACAAUAUUAUAUAUUAUUAUAUAAUAGUUGAAUUAUAUAUAUAUAUAUAUAUAAUUAUGAAUAGUCCUUACCAAGAUUUGUGCCAGCAGCAGCGGUAAUACAAAGAGGGCUAACGUUAAUCAUAAUGGUUUAAAGGAUUCGCAGAAUGAAUAUAUAUUUAUAUAUUUAGAAUUAAUAAAAUUAAUAAAAGAAUUAUAAUAGUAAAGAUGAAAUAAUAUUGAUAAUUAUAAGACUGAUAUAUGUGAAAAUAUUUAUUAAUUAUUAAUUGACAUUGAGGAAUGAAAGCUAAAGUAGCAAGACGGAUUCGAUACCCGAGUAGUUUUAGCUGUAAACUAUGAAUACCCUAUUAUUUAUUAAAUUAAAUAAUAUAAAUGAAAAUUAAAGUAUUCCACC
rnacentral:ncRNA from 1 species